GCGGAGGACAUUACACAACAAAAUAUGAAGGCCUGGCUUUCGCGGCCGGCUGAAGUAUUUUUUUCACCCAUGUCUUUUGCGCACUUGUUGUUUCCUGGGCGGGUUCGCCCGCCACCAGGACCAAACCAUAAACCUUUUUUUCUUAUGCAGUUUCCAUCAGCGUCAGUAAAAACAAUGUAAUUAUUACAACUUUCAACAACGGAUCUCUUGGUUCUGGCAUCGAUGAAGAACGCAGCGAAAUGCGAUACGUAGUGUGAAUUGCAGAAUUCAGUGAAUCAUCGAAUCUUUGAACGCACAUUGCGCCCUUUGGUAUUCCAAAGGGCAUGCCUGUUCGAGCGUCAUUUGUACCUUCAAGCUUUGCUUGGUGUUGGGCGUUUUUUUGUCUCCCUCUUUCUGGGAGACUCGCCUUAAAACGAUUGGCAGCCGGCCUACUGGUUUCGGAGCGCAGCACAUUUUUUGCGCUUUGUAUCAGGAGAAAAGGACGGUACUCCAUCAAGACUCUACAUUUUUCACUUUUGACCUCGGAUCAGGUAGGGAUACCCGCUGAACUUAAGCAUAUCAUA
rnacentral:rRNA from 1 species